ACGAACGCUGGCGGCGUGCUUAACACAUGCAAGUCGAACGAGAGCGUAGAGAAAGCUUGCUUUUUCUACAAUCUAGUGGCAAACGGGUGAGUAACGCGUAAACAACCUGCCCUACGGAUGGGGACAACAGCUGGAAACGGCUGCUAAUACCGAAUACGUUCCGAAAGUCGCAUGACUGUCGGAAGAAAGGAUGGCCUCUAUUUAUAAGCUAUCGCCGGAGGAGGGGUUUGCGUCUGAUUAGCUAGUUGGAGGGGUAACGGCCCACCAAGGCGACGAUCAGUAGCCGGUCUGAGAGGAUGAACGGCCACAUUGGAACUGAGACACGGUCCAGACUCCUACGGGAGGCAGCAGUGGGGAAUCUUCCGCAAUGGGCGAAAGCCUGACGGAGCAACGCCGCGUGAGUGAAGACGGCCUUCGGGUUGUAAAGCUCUGUUAUACGGGACGAAUAAUCUUGUGGUUAAUACCCAUGAGAAGUGACGGUACCGUAAGAGAAAGCCACGGCUAACUACGUGCCAGCAGCCGCGGUAAUACGUAGGUGGCAAGCGUUGUCCGGAAUUAUUGGGCGUAAAGGGCGCGCAGGCGGCUUCUUAAGUCUGUCUUAAAAGUGCGGGGCUUAACCCCGUGAUGGGAUGGAAACUGGGAAGCUCAGAGUAUCGGAGAGGAAAGCGGAAUUCCUAGUGUAGCGGUGAAAUGCGUAGAUAUUAGGAG
rnacentral:rRNA from 1 species